GUAAUUCUAGUUCAGUGGUAGAACACUCCAUUGUGGUUGGAGAUACCUCAGUUCGAUUCUGUGGUUUUGCCCA
rnacentral:tRNA from 1 species